rnacentral:rRNA from 1 species
AGCCGCGGUAAUACGGAGGAUCCAAGCGUUAUCCGGAAUUAUUGGGCGUAAAGCGCGCGCAGGCGGUUCCUUAAGUCUGAUGUGAAAGCCCACGGCUCAACCGUGGAGGGUCAUUGGAAACUGGGAGACUUGAGUGCAGAAGAGAAGAGUGGAAUUCCACGUGUAGCGGUGAAAUGCGUAGAGAUGUGGAGGAACACCAGUGGCGAAGGCGACUCUUUGGUCUGUAACUGACGCUGAGGCGCGAAAGCGUGGGGAGCAAACG